rnacentral:snRNA from 1 species
GGAUGUGAGAGCAACUGGCUUCAACAUCUGUUACCCCAUUGAUCACCAAGGUUAAUUUGCCUGACAUGGCUGGCUAGGCCUGUGUCCACUUCUUUUCUUUCUGCUCCAUCUUUAUCCCUCCAGAAGCUGUGUGCUUGGUCAAAAAGGGUGACCAUCCCCAAUAGAGGAGGUUCAUUCUUUGGUCAAGAGCAUAAAAGUAACUAUGUUCUCCUCCUAGAACCUCCAAAUAAACUCUCAAGAAAAUGUGGUAUAUGUACACAAAGGAAUUGUGUAAAAAGAAUGAAAUUCUGUCUUCUGGGAUAACAUGUGCAGCACUAGAA